rnacentral:ncRNA from 1 species
UAGCUGCAGAGGUAGAAAUAAUGGCACCAGAAAUAAUAUUAAGCUUCAUCGUCGAGAGGGAAACAGCCUGGAUCACCAGCUAAGGCCCCUAAAUGACCGCUUAGUGAUAAAGGAGGUAGGGGUGUAGAGACAGUCAGGAAGUUUGCCUAGAAGCAGCCACCCUUGAAAGAGUGGGUAAUAGCUCACUGAUCGAGCGCUCUUGCGCCGAAGAUGAACGGAGCUAAGCAAUCUGCCGAAGAUGUGGGAUGUAAAAAUGCAUCG